rnacentral:rRNA from 1 species
GAUUGGCGCGUCUAUAAUGCAGUCGAGCGGACAGAUGGGAGCUUGCUCCCUGAUGUAAGCGGCGGACAGGUGAGUAACACGUGGGUAACCUGCCUGUAAGACUGGGAUAACUCCGGGAAACCGGGGCUAAUACCGGAUGCUUGAUUGAACCGCAUGGUUCAAUUAUAAAAGGUGGCUUUCCACUACAUCUUCCCAAUGGACCCUCGGCGCAUUAUGGGGUUGGUGAGGUAACGGCUCACCAUGGCUACCUGGCCUGACCAACCUGAAAGGGUGAUGGGCCUGAUGGGACUGAAAACGGCCCAAACUCCUACGGGAGGCAAAUAUUGGGAAUCUUCCGCAAUGGACAAAAGUCUGACGGACCAGCGCCGCGUGAGUGAUGAAGGUUUUCGGAUCUUAAAACUCUGUUGUUAGGGAAAAACAUAAUACCGUUCGAAUAGGGCGUUACCUUGACGGUACCUAACCAGAAAGCCCCGUGCUAACUACCCGCCAUAAUACCGCGGUAAUACGUAGUUGGCAAGCGUUGUCCGGAAUUAUUGGGCGUAAAGCGGUCUGCAGGCGGUUUCUUAAAUCUGAUGUGAAUCCCCCUGGGCUCAACCGGGGAGGGUCAUUGGAAACUGGGGAACUUGAGGUGCAUAAAAUUACAGUGUGAAUUCCACGUGUGCGUAUAAAUCGCGUAGGAGAUGUGGAGGAACACCGCGGCCCAAGGCAACUCUCUGACGCUAACUGACGCUGAGGCGCGAGCAGUGGGGAAUCGAUCCGGAUUAUAUCCCCUGCUAGUCCACGCCCUAUUUGAUAGAGUGCUGACCUGUUAGCGUGUUUCCGCCCUUUAGUGCUGUAGAUCGACCAUUCAUGCGACUCCACCUGGGCAAGUACUGUCGCUCAGACUGAAACUCAAAGAAAUGGACGGGGGCCCGCCCAAGCGGUGAACCAGGUGGUUUAAUUCGAAGCAACGGGAAGACCCUUCCCAGUUCUUGCCAUCCUAGGACAACCCUAGAGAUAGGGCUUCCCCUUCGGGGGCAGAGUGCCAGGUGGUCCAUGGUGGUCGUCAGUUCGUGUCGUGAGAUGUUGGGUUAAGUCCCGCAACGAGCGCAACCCUUGAUUUUAGUUGCCAGCAUUCAGUUGGGCACUCUAAGGUGACUGCCGGUGACAAACCGGAGGAAGGUGGGGAUGACGUCAAAUCAUCAUGCCCCUUAUGACCUGGGCUACACACGUGCUACAAUGGGCAGAACAAAGGGCAGCGAAGCCGCGAGGGCAAGCCAAUCUCACAAAUUUGUUCUCAGUUCGGAUCGCAGUCUGCAACUCGACUGCGUGAAGUUGGAAUCGCUAGUAAUCGCUAGAUCAGCAUGCCGCGGUGAAUACGUUCCCGGGCCUUGUACACACCGCCCGUCACACCCCGAGAGUGUGUAACACCACGAAGUCGGUGAGGUAACCUUUGGAACCAGCCGCACGAACGUGACCAGAAACUGCA